GACGAACGCUGGCGGCGUGCUUAACACAUGCAAGUCGAACGGAAAGGCCCUGCUUUUGUGGGGUUCUCGAGUGCCGAACGGGUGAGUAACACGUGAGUAACCUGCCCUUGACUUUGGGAGAACUUCAGGAAACUGGGGCUAAUACCGUAUAGGAUCUCCUGCUGCAUGGUGGGGGGUGGAAAGUCUCGGCGGUCGCGGCUGGACGCGCGGCUUAUCAGCUUGUUGGUUGGGGAGUUGCUUACCAAGGGUUUGACGGGUAGCCGGCCUGAGAGGGUGACCGGCCACAUUGGGACUGAGAUACGGCCCAGACUCCUACGGGAGGCAGCAGUGGGGAAUAUUGCACAAUGGGCGGAAGCCUGAUGCAGCAACGCCGCGUGCGGGAUGACGGCCUUCGGGGUGUAAACCGCUUUCGCCUGUGACGAAGCGUGAGUGACGGUAAUGGGUAAAGAAGCACCGGCUAACUACGUG
rnacentral:rRNA from 1 species